UACGGGGGGAGCAAGCGUUGUUCGGAUUUACUGGGCGUAAAGGGCGCGUAGGCGGUCAGCACAAGUCAGCUGUGAAAUCUCCGGGCUUAACCCGGAGCGGCCAAGUGAUACUGUCGUGCUAGAGUGCGGAAGGGGCUACUGGAAUUCUCGGUGUAGCGGUGAAAUGCGUAGAUAUCAGGAGGAACACCGGUGGCGAAGGCGGGUCUCUGGGCCGAUACUGACGCUGAGGAGCGAAAGCGUGGGGAGCGAACAGG
rnacentral:rRNA from 1 species